UAGUCUACGCCGUAAACGAUGGUCACUAGCUGUUCGGAACUUGUUUCUGAGUGGCUAAGCGAAAGUGAUAAGUGACCCACCUGGGGAGUACGUUCGCAAGAAUGAAACUCAAAGGAAUUGACGGGGGCCCGCACAAGCGGUGGAGCAUGUGGUUUAAUUCGAUGAUACGCGAGGAACCUUACCAGGGCUUAAAUGUAGAUUGACAGGUUUAGAGAUAGACUUUCCUUCGGGCAAUUUACAAGGUGCUGCAUGGUUGUCGUCAGCUCGUGCCGUGAGGUGUCAGGUUAAGUCCGUCAACGAGCGCAACCCCUAUUUUCAGUUGCCAGCAAGUAAAGUUGGGGACUCCGGAAAGACUGCCUCCGUAAGGAGUGAGGAAGGCGGGGACGACGGUCAAAUCAUCAUGGCCUUUAUGCCCAGGGGCUACACACGUGCUACAAUGGGUGGGGUACAGAGGGGUAGCGAAGCGGUGACGUGGGAGCCAAUCUCAUAAAGCCUAUCCCAGUUCGGGAUUGGGAGUCUGCAACUC
rnacentral:rRNA from 1 species